GCUUUCGUAGCUCAGUUGGUUAGAGCGAUCGUCUUAUGAGCGAUAGGUCGGGGGUUCGAGUCCCCCCGAGAGUA
rnacentral:tRNA from 1 species